UAGCUUGCUACCUGACCUAGCGGCGGACGGGUGAGUAAUGCUUAGGAAUCUGCCUAUUAGUGGGGGACAACAUUCCGAAAGGAAUGCUAAUACCGCAUACGCCCUACGGGGGAAAGCAGGGGAUCUUCGGACCUUGCGCUAAUAGAUGAGCCUAAGUCAGAUUAGCUAGUUGGUGGGGUAAAGGCCUACCAAGGCGACGAUCUGUAGCGGGUCUGAGAGGAUGAUCCGCCACACUGGGACUGAGACACGGCCCAGACUCCUACGGGAGGCAGCAGUGGGGAAUAUUGGACAAUGGGCGAAAGCCUGAUCCAGCCAUGCCGCGUGUGUGAAGAAGGCCUUUUGGUUGUAAAGCACUUUAAGCGAGGAGGAGGCUACUUGGAUUAAUACUCUAGGAUAGUGGACGUUACUCGCAGAAUAAGCACCGGCUAACUCUGUGCCAGCAGCCGCGGUAAUACAGAGGGUGCGAGCGUUAAUCGGAUUUACUGGGCGUAAAGCGUGCGUAGGCGGCUUCUUAAGUCGGAUGUGAAAUCCCUGAGCUUAACUUAGGAAUUGCAUUCGAUACUGGGAAGCUAGAGUAUGGGAGAGGAUGGUAGAAUUCCAGGUGUAGCGGUGAAAUGCGUAGAGAUCUGGAGGAAUACCGAUGGCGAAGGCAGCCAUCUGGCCUAAUACUGACGCUGAGGUACGAAAGCAUGGGGAGCAAACAGGAUUAGAUACCCUGGUAGUCCAUGCCGUAAACGAUGUCUACUAGCCGUUGGGGCCUUUGAGGCUUUAGUGGCGCAGCUAACGCGAUAAGUAGACCGCCUGGGGAGUACGGUCGCAAGACUAAAACUCAAAUGAAUUGACGGGGGCCCGCACAAGCGGUGGAGCAUGUGGUUUAAUUCGAUGCAACGCGAAGAACCUUACCUGGUCUUGACAUAGUAAGAACUUUCCAGAGAUGGAUUGGUGCCUUCGGGAACUUACAUACAGGUGCUGCAUGGCUGUCGUCAGCUCGUGUCGUGAGAUGUUGGGUUAAGUCCCGCAACGAGCGCAACCCUUUUCCUUAUUUGCCAGCGAGUAAUGUCGGGAACUUUAAGGAUACUGCCAGUGACAAACUGGAGGAAGGCGGGGACGACGUCAAGUCAUCAUGGCCCUUACGACCAGGGCUACACACGUGCUACAAUGGUCGGUACAAAGGGUUGCUACCUAGCGAUAGGAUGCUAAUCUCAAAAAGCCGAUCGUAGUCCGGAUUGGAGUCUGCAACUCGAC
rnacentral:rRNA from 1 species